rnacentral:rRNA from 1 species
AACGCGAAGAACCUUACCUGGGUUUGACAUACAUAUGACGACUAGAGAGAUUUAGUUUUCCCGCAAGGGACAUAUGAACAGGUGCUGCAUGGCUGUCGUCAGCUCGUGCCGUGAGGUGUUGGGUUAAGUCCCGCAACGAGCGCAACCCUUGUCGUUAGUUGCCAGCACGUUAUGGUGGGCACUCUAGCGAGACUGCCUGGGUUAACCAGGAGGAAGGUGAGGAUGACGUCAAGUCCGCAUGGCCUUUAUAUCCAGGGCUACACACGUGCUACAAUGGCAGGUACAGAGGGGUGCAAAACCGCGAGGUGGAGCAAAUCCGAAAAGCCUGCCCCAGUUCAGAUUGUAGUCUGCAACUCGACUACAUGAAGAUGGAAUUGCUAGUAAUGGCGAGUCAGCAACAUCGCCGUGAAUACGUUCCCGGGCCUUGUACACACCGGAGUA